AAUAUUAAGAUUGGAAAUAUCGGCGGCUUGGUUAUUUGCGUCAUAUGCUGUGAAAUUAUUUUUCUCCAAGCAAUUCCAAUCCGCUUAUAAAUAAAUGAAGUCGAGAUUGAAAUUUAUCUAGUUGUUUGUUAGACGGUGCACGGUGCGCGAGUAAAAAGGUGCUUCAUUUUCACGCCACAACAACGAUGCAAACAAUCGCCAUUGUUUUAAUCAUCUCGGUCAGCGCACAGCACGCUGUACUUCCAAACCAAGAGGAAGCAAAACGUGUACCCGAGGAUAGAAUUAUUACCUCUAGCAGAGCAACGGAUCCUUCGAACAGGAACAAUUACAAAGAUGAAGUACCUGAACACACCAUAAUUGGAACUAAUGGCGUUGUAGAGCUCGAUGGGGUGUUUAAAGCGAAUGAUGACCAAUUCAGAGCUGGCAAAGUGGAGUUAUUUAUCAGUCAGAAGGAAAUUCGCAUCAAUGAUGUAACGAUUCUUCGGAGAACUCCUACUGAUUCGCGUGAUGUCAACAAUGGCCAUCUCACCUCCCAUACGAAUUAUUUUAAAAUUCAAACAUUUAAAAGCGGUCUAACUUUGUAUGAAGAUGAUAAAGUAAAUAAUGUGCCGCUUACAAUUCCUGGCACGAGUGUUUUGCUUAACGAAGUACCUGAACACAUCAUAAAAGGAUCUAAUGGCCGUAUAGAGCUCGAUGGGGUGUUUAAAGCGAAUGAUGACAAAUUCAGAGCUGGCAAAGUGGAGUUAGUUAUCGGUCAGAAGGAAAUUCGCAUCAAUGAUAUAACAAUUCUUCGGAGAACUCCUAUUAAUCUGCUUUAUGACGACAGGACGACUCUCACUUCCAAUACGUAUAAUUUUAAAAUUCAGACAUUUAAAAACGGUUACACUUUGUAUGAAGACGAUAAAGUAAAUAUGACGAUUCCAUUUCCUCCCACCGCGCCUGCUUUCCUUAACUAACGCUGAAUAAAUUUAGAAUAUUAGCAAUGUUUUGAAUGCAUUCAAACUGUCGAAUAAAUUUAUGUUGUCAUAAUGA